GAUGAACGCUGGCGGCGUGCUUAACACAUGCAAGUCGAACGGUGAAGCGCGUUCCUUUUUGCUGGGUGGGGAGGAGCGGCGAAGAGGUUAGCAACAGGAGAGUAACCUUCCCCGUUCUUCUGGACUACCGCAAGAAAGUGUGACUAACACGGGAUAUUCUGGGCCUGUCGCAUGAAGGGUGUGGGAUAGAUUUUGUGUCGGUGGGAGAUGGGCCCGCGGCCUAUCAGCUUGUUGGUGGGGUGAUGGCCUACCAAGGCGGUGACGAGUAGCCGGCCUGAGAGGUUGGACGGUCACACUGGGGCUGGAACACCCACACGACUACUGCGGGAGGCAGCAGUGAGGCAUAGGGAACAGUGGGCGGAAGCCUGAAGCAACGACGCAGGGGGUGGGAUGGAGGCCUUCGGGUUAUGAACAUCUUUUACGGGUGAAGAAUUCCUGAAUCAUCUGUGGAUGGCUUGACGGUAGCUGGAGAAGAAGCGCCGGCUAACUACGUG
rnacentral:rRNA from 1 species